GUCCAGAUGACGAGUCCCAAAUAGGAUGAAACGCACGUCCUGGAU
rnacentral:hammerhead_ribozyme from 1 species